GGAUGAACGCUAGCGGGAGGCCUAACACAUGCAAGCCGAGCGGGAGUUGUUUAUUAGCUUGCUAAUGAAUAAUGAGAGCGGCGUACGGGUGCGUAACACGUGUGCAACCUGCCUUUAUCUGGGGGAUAGCCUUCCGAAAGGGAGAUUAAUACCGCAUAAUAUAUUUCUGGGCAUCUGGGGAUAUUGAAAGCUUUGGCGGAUAGAGAUGGGCACGCGCAAGAUUAGCUAGUUGGUAAGGUAACGGCUUACCAAGGCGAUGAUCUUUAGGGGGCCUGAGAGGGUGAUCCCCCACACUGGGACUGAGACACGGCCCAGACUCCUACGGGAGGCAGCAGUGAGGAAUAUUGGACAAUGGGUGGAAGCCUGAUCCAGCCAUCCCGCGUGAAGGACGACGGUUCUAUGGAUUGUAAACUUCUUUUAUAUAGGGAUAAACCUACUCUCGUGAGGGUAGCUGAAGGUACUAUAUGAAUAAGCACCGGCUAACUCCGU
rnacentral:rRNA from 1 species